rnacentral:rRNA from 1 species
UGGGGAAUCUUGCGCAAUGGGCGAAAGCCUGACGCAGCAACGCCGCGUGCGGGAUGAAGGCCUUCGGGUUGUAAACCGCUUUCAGAAGGAACGAAACUGACGGUACUUUCAGAAGAAGGUGCGGCCAACUACGUGCCAGCAGCCGCGGUGACACGUAGGCACCAAGCGUUGUCCGGAUUUAUUGGGCGUAAAGAGCUCGUAGGCGGUUCGAAAAGUCGGGUGUGAAAACUUUGGGCUUAACCCAAAGCGUGCACUCGAUACUAUUGUGACUAGAGUUCGGUAGGGGAGCGGGGAAUUCCUAGUGUAGCGGUGAAAUGCGCAGAUAUUAGGAGGAACACCGGUGGCGAAGGCGCCGCUCUGGGCCGAAACUGACGCUGAGGAGCGAAAGCGUGGGUAGCAAACAGG